ACUGUGCCACACACAGAAAUGUCAAGAUGAACUUAACCUGGGAUUCUGACAGGAUCCUGCUGGGAGGAUGGAGGAAGGAAAGGCUGUGUGGCGGUUAGAGUCUGACGGUGAUCAGUAAGAGAGCCACUUCAUCCUCUAGAAAGACAUCAAGAUGUGCUAGAAAAAAAAAAAAACUCCCUCUUGCACCAGGCAUGGUAGCGCACACCUCCAAUUCCAGCAGUUGGGAGGCAGAGGCAGAAGGACCAGCAAUUCAAGAUCAUCUUCAGCUAAGUGGCAAAUUCAAUGUCAACCUGGGCUAUGUGACACCUCAUCCAGAGAGGAAGAUGAAGGAGGAGGAAGAGAGGAUUACAGUCCUCUUGGGCACAAGAAGGAAUGGGAAGAUUCACAAGAGACUCGAAGCCAAAAUGGCAGAGAAGCAUCCCAUUGCACAAGCACCCCAAGGAAGAAAACUCAAUGAGAACAGGCUCCAAACACAUCAACACCACAUAACUCAAUUUCCAUGACAACAGAAAUAAUGAUCCCAGAUCAUCUUUCCAGAGAGGGAACCAGGCCCACUCCCCACAGAGAAGAAGCAGGCCAGCCAACACUGCAAGUGCUGAGGCCUUUGAAAGCUAACUUUGGCUGACAUGGGUUCAUUAGUCACCCUCACAUCAGGCACAAUGUGCCUUUUGGAGCCAAGCAUUCUCUCCCUCCUCCCUCCGUCCAGUGCCCGGGUUAGACACAGAGCUGAUCCUACUGGUUCCCUGCCUUAAACUGCACACACAGCAGAUGGAAAAACUAUGCCCAUGUAAGAAUGUGGAAUAUGCCAGACUCUAGAAAAGACCCAACAAAUACAGAAACGCGUGUCAUGACUGCCAAUGGAAGAAAGGAAAUAAUUAAAUCUAACUGUUUUUUUUU
rnacentral:lncRNA from 1 species